rnacentral:lncRNA from 13 species
CUCUUAUCUAACUGUAAUUUCGUUGCCAUUAACCAACCUCUCUCUAAGCCUCCUACCUGCUUCCCUUCCCAGCCUCUGGUAACCACUAUUCUACUCUCUACUUCUAUGAUAUCAACUUUUUAAUACACAAUGGAAUAUUAUUCAGUCAUAAAAGAAGAAAAUCCUGUCAUUUGCAGCCGCAUGGAUGAACCUGGAGAUUUUGUUAAGUGAAGUCAAGCCGUGGUCAGAUUCUGUCCAUCAAAGGAGGGGUGAGGACAGGGGACAUGUUGGCAGUCUGAAACCCUGGCAUUUCCCGACGUCAUUCUUCACGCUACAAAGGAUGAGGAGAGAGUACUGAGAAUAUCAGAUGCCAGCCAGGCUCCAGGAUGCAUCCCUCCCAGCACGAGUUCAGUGUCCACUAAAGAGAUGGACCAAAGUGCCCACAGCAACAUUGUUCUUAAUGGCACAAUCUGGAAGCAGCUCACAUGUCUGCAUACA